UCAUUGAAUCACGUUAGUGGCGGACGGGUGAGUAACGCGUGGGAAACCUGCCCUAUACUGGGGGAUAGCAGUUGGAAACGACUGAUAAUACCGCAUAAGCGCACAGGGCCGCAUGGUCUGGUGUGAAAAACUCCGGUGGGUAUAGGAUGGUCCCGCGUACUGACUUAGGCUAAGUUGGUGAGGUAACGGCCCACCAAGGCGACGAUCAGUAGCCGGCCUGAGAGGGUGUACGGCCACAUUGGGACUGAGACACGGCCCAAACUCCUACGGGAGGCAGCAGUGGGGAAUAUUGGACAAUGGGGGAAACCCUGAUCCAGCCGACGCCGCGUGAACGAUGAAGUAUUUCGGUAUGUAAAGUUCUAUCAGCAGGGAAGAUAAUGACGGUACCUGACUAAGAAGCACCGGCUAAAUACGUGCCAGCAGCCGC
rnacentral:rRNA from 1 species